rnacentral:rRNA from 1 species
GAUGAACGCUGGCGGCGUGCUUAACACAUGCAAGUCGAACGAGUUACAUUAGAGGAAGUUUUCGGAUGGAAUCUAAUGUAGCUAGUGGCGGACGGGUGAGUAACGCGUGGGAAACCUGCCCUAUACAGGGGAAUAGCCUCGGGAAACCGGGAUUAAUACCCCAUAAAAACUCUAGAAUCGCAUGAUUCAUGAGCCAAAGAUUUAUCGGUAUAGGAUGGUCCCGCGUCUGAUUAGCUAGUUGGUGAGGUAAAGGCUCACCAAGGCGACGAUCAGUAGCCGGCCUGAGAGGGUGAACGGCCACACUGGAACUGAGACACGGUCCAGACUCCUACGGGAGGCAGCAGUGGGGAAUAUUGCACAAUGGGGGAAACCCUGAUGCAGCGACGCCGCGUGAGCGAAGAAGGCCUUCGGGUCGUAAAGCUCUGUCCUAAGGGAAGAAGAAGACGGUACCUUAGGAGGAAGCCCCGGCUAACUACGUG